GAGAGGGAGGGAGAGACAGGGAAAGGAAGCAGAAAUCAUAACCAAAAAGUUCACACUGAUUAUUGAAAUAGUCAGUGCUCCCUUGGGCUGUGGGGAAGGGAAAGGCACUUUUACAGUGUUUUGGAACAUUUUUCUUCCUCGGGAUUCUGACUUUUCACCACAUAUUUAUGCUACGUUGAGAGAGGAGAAGAAAAGAAAAAGAACUCAAAGGUUUUACAGUUUCGAAGCAAAUAAAGGGGAGAUGCUGUUGUGGCUGCAGAGGUGAGCUAUGGACAGCUGGUGGAAGAGAAUCAGGCCCCAUGGUAAAGAGGGAAAGGACGGAGCAGCUCUCUUGUCUGCCAGAAGAUGAACAUUGCAGUGGGCAUACCAUGGGGCCAGACCACCAGCAGAGCAUUAAACAAGGACAGAUGUGAAUGCCAGGAUAAAAAUGAAGACAUUCCUGAAGUGCUUACUGAAGCUGUUGAUGAUAGUAUUUCAGAACUUACAAGUUUUCCUGACCCAGCUUUGAGCAGUUUACAGUGUCAUCAUAUUUUCCAUCUGAAAAUCUAGGCAGAAGAGCAUGUUUACAAUAGUUCCGUUAGAAAUAGCUUGAGAAAGUCUUCAGUGGGAGAAACCCAAAAGUAAGUGGGAAAUGAGUUUCUGGCUUGUACUGUUUAAUAUUUUUCCUAUUCUCAUAUUUGAAGAUCUGUUUCAAACCCUCGCUGGCAAUUAAGAUGCUGAUGUCCAAUAGAUGAACCGACUAAACGCAAAAGUUUUACUCAAAUUCUGCUGAACUUUGGAAUGAUAAGGAAAAAAGAAAAAAAGAAUUGAAAGUGAAGUCCAUAUUCAUCCCAUACUUGGGAAAACAACCAAAAUAAAACCUUGCUGUAAACUUUUCUAACAUUUGGAGUGCUUGAAAUAUGUAUCUUAAUUUGAGUCUGCAGUCAAUAUCUGGGCAAAAGAGGAAAUCUGUUGCAUCAUAAAAUUCAUAAAAGUGAUAGUAUAAGCUUGAAACAACUUAUUCAGGAGAAAAUGGUUUGCAAAAGAGGCACAAGUGAAAACAUUUAGAUUUGGCUGAAGUAGAUACAAGCUUGAUCAUUAUAUGUAUACCAUGCAAGUAAAUAGCUUGUGGGUGCGUCUAAAGCCAAUGUGAACCUUUAUGUGGAAAGCAUUGACUAUGUGGGUAUGGAAAAUAGCCCACUUAAACUAUAAUUAUACUGAAUAUGUGCAAAUAAAACCCAAAUAAAGCACCCAAGUAGAAAGCAUAUUUCUUUAACAUUUCUGUGGAUAUGUUCUAUGUUAUUCUCAUGGUUUUAGGGCAGUCGGAAUUAUACUGUAUUCAUAUUAAUAACUUGGAAGUAAACAGUAUACAAAAUAUCUUCUUAAAAUAUACAUUAAAAAAUUACAGUGGAAGAAAAAACAUGUGUAACCAAAGUUAGAUUGGAUCUAAGAGACUGUUACAAUUUCUUGAUUUAGUUUGCUGAGUAGGAGGCUCUGCUGGAAUUACCGACUCUUAAAUAAGUCAGCAAGAUAUUAUUUGAAAGACACUGGUUCAUCAAGAAGUAGUUUCAUUUCACUUAUGACUUUUUGGAAUGGCAUUGCAAUCAAUCAGCUAAGUUUCUGAGCAGUGGCCACUUGGAGUAAUAUGGCUGAAGUCAAGACGUAACUGUGUUUUGAGUGGUUGCAUUCUUGCUUCUCUCUCCUCACAUUCCUCCUGUUGCCAGUGCUUCCAUGGCAGGACAAAAUGAGACCUGGUGGAGUACAUUCUGUCAUGGCUCUGCUCUUAGUGUCUCCUGUGCUGUGGGAAUUCACAUCUGUGGAUAUGGAAGCUUCUAGCUGUCAUACAUAGUAGCCUGAAGGGACAGAAUGAAUUUGUUUGUUAGCUCUAGUAGUGUCAGGGCCUUGCUAGAAUUUACAUGAGCCUCAUCUAAUGAACUUGGUGCAAAAUUGUUGUGUAAUGGAUCAGACCUCUCAGAUGGACUUUGGAGCUGUGAUUUUCCAGGUGAUGCAUGUCUCACAUUGGAUACACACAGACUUAAAGAAAUAACGUUCUUGUGUUAACUGCAGCUCAACACUGUCAGUCACCAGUUUUAUUCUCUUUCUGCAACAAAACAAUGAUGCACUUGAAUGAUAAAAAAGGUUGACAGUGUGUCUGAGCCUGCUCUCUGUUGAGUGUGAUGACAUCUCUACCAGAACUACAUUUUCCCUUUAUGCUUUCAAAAUCUCCUUGUCUUAAUCCGUAACUUAAAAAAAUAUUUAGCACCACAUAGUGUCUAAGGAUGAACAGUACAGAUGUUUCACACUAGUAUCUAUUUGUUCUAUUUACGUUUUGUAUCAUCAGGUUAACAAAACAGCUUAAAUUGUUUACCAAGAACAAAUUCCGCAUUGGAAUCUUUGAAGUCCGGGUGUCUUCCUUAGACAAGCUCUAUGGGAACCAUUAGGUCAUGGCCUGAAGCAGUUAUUGAGCACCUCGUGAAGGGGCAUAGCCAGCCCUAGGAGCACAGGUGGAAGCAAUUCACCUGUGUGACUAGGAGGGGCGGACCCUUACCUAAUAUAAGGGCUGGCAGCCACAAGAAAAGCAUCUCUAUCUAGAGAUUACCUCCUUAGUAGUGUUUGUUGAGCUCUGGUCCUUGGAAAGGGUAGAAAUGAGGGUGGUUCCAAUGCCUCCCUGAAGGUAUGGUAUCUUCUUGCGAAGCUCCCUGAGAACCAGGAACAAGGAGCUGUCACAGCAGCAAGGAUGGGAUAUCCCACAGCUGUCAACAGGAGCACCCAGGAGCUGCAGUGAGGGUGUUGGACACUGUACAAAAGAGGGGCAGGUAAAUGACUUUUCUUAACCAGACUGCUAAGCUCCAUACUCAUUUGUGAUUACUGGUUUACAGUAUUAUAAGUAUAUUCCAGUUGUAAGUGAUUUCAGACUGCUGUCUCCAGUGUAUAAUACCUCAUCAUUUGUCAUGUUCCUUUUUCAAAAAUGAGGAUUCGCCCAUUCUUUCCACUUACUUAUUCUCCAGAAGAUGUAGUAACUUUUUUUAUAAUGAAAACUACUUGUUUUUCUAAAAAUCUUUCUGAUAACUUCAGUGAGAUCUGUACACUUGGGGUUGUUUUGCUAUUUAAAGAUACUCAGAAAUAGAUCAGACUUACUCCCCCCCCCCCCCCCCAAAAAAAAAAAAUUGUCUAAAAAUUGAAUCUGUGAGUAGCAUAUCAAAUUUGGAUGCUUAUACCUAAAGGAUCUCCAUUUCUUCCUGCCUUCUCUUCUGAGAAGAGUUGAAGUACUUACAGUGCUGUUUGAACCCAGGACAUAGAGCUUGGAAAAAAAAUGCAAGCCAUUGUGUCAUAGAAUUUUUAUCUGGCAAUAUUACAAGCCAGAAUUUUCAAGCUGAUUUGAAGAAAAACAAGGUGAAAAGUCUAUUGGGUCACACUUGAAAAUGUUAAGUAUUUUAGAGUCGUUUCAAAAUCCUGGAAAUUAAGUACUUCACAUCUACAAAGUUAACUGGUUUACUAAGUAUAAUGUCAUUUAUACAGUUUGCAAAGUCUGAAUACACAUACAAUAGUAAGAAAACUGUACCAAAGCCAUGUUAAAAGAAUUUGAUGUGUGGCAGAUUUGAGUUAGUAGGUACAAUGUGUUCUAUGAUUGGAAAGAAAAAUGGCAGACACACUUUCAAUGUGUUAGAAAGUAGAUGAAGACUCCUCUGAGACCAUGAAUCCCAAUGGAAACACUGCUGAUCUAAAGAUCAUAGAAAGAUAGAACCAGGUCACAUGCUGAUGCAAAUGAGCAUAGUUUUCUUGACAUUGGUGGACCUACAGUGAUUGAUUCCAGAUGAAGUGAUGAGAUGAUUCGGAUGUGCUAUGCCCUCCUGAAAGGCUGUUGAGAGAUGCUGAGAUCAGUGCUGGGAUUGCCUCACCAGAGGAAAAUAUGCAGAGUAACAAUCUCUCCUUUAAAAAAAUGUGAGAAGGAAGAAAGUAAUAGUAUCUCUCCCAGUGUUGAUGGAAAAAGUAGGCUUUGGUGGAAAGAAAAAUAGUUCAGUAGUCAAGAUUUUGGAAGGAAGGCAGUAAAGACUUUUCCUAAGGAAAAGAGAGCACCAGAAAGCUUUAGAUGUUCCCUGUUCUCACCAUCUUCAGAACAGCUCUGUGUGUAUUUACCCUUACUCUUCUUUAGGUGGUCACUGAGGUUUGACUCAUUGAGUACUCCAGUGUGUUGGCCUGGGAGCAGGAGAAAGGAUGGAGGAUCUAAAGGCAUCCUGGUUACAGCAGCAGCAUGACUGAAUCAGCUUUAAUGACUGGCUGAAGCUAGCACUGUAUCUAUGCAUCCAGCGUGGGCUGCAACAAGAGUGACAAUUCAGGCAGAAGCUGGUUUGGGCUGAGUUUUAUGGUGUUGUGGCUAGCAAAGUAGCUAAGCUAGCUCACCAAUGCUCUCCCAAGUUAUUUUUUGUCUUAACAAUACAGGUAGGCCCAAGCAUGAUACCCUUCAGUGGUUCAAGAACUAUCUAAAAUAUUUAAACAUUUUGAGAUGUUCUUCUUCUGGAAGUGAAAGUAAAAAGAAGACUGGCUCUGGAAGCCUCGCAACAUUUGAAGUAAAUCACUCCUUAUGGCAGUAUCAAAAUCCGAAGAUGCAGGGAUUUUGAAGACUUAUCUAUGGAUUCAAUAAAAUCUAAAAGCAGAUGUUUAGUAACGUAUUUUUCCUAGAUCAUCAGUAGCAGUAUUUAGAGGCAUUGCAGAGCUUUGACCAUUGAAUUCCUCAUAGCGAGCUGCAACCUGCUGUAAGUACUGUUCUUGCAUUUGUCUAUCAAAAGAGAAAAUAUAAGACUAUUUUCAUUUCAUACAAGACUAUUAAUAUUGAAACCAUUGACUAGUAGACUACUCAAUUAAGGAUAUAUUAACUAGGAUACUUUAUCUCACUCUUAUUUUCAAGAGUCAACAAUCCAAGUACAAGGAGACUAAUGACUAAAAAUUCAGCCUCUUCUGAACAACUGAUGGAGUUCUGUUCCUGAGCUACCUCCUCCUCGAUUCAUUCAGCAUGAAUGGCAGAUUCCUAUAUCGUGUCAAGUUUCAGAUCACCAUAGAAACAAACUAGGAGGCAGUUUCAUUAAUCAUUUAGAGCACAAGAAGUCUAGGUCAGUCUGAUUGCAGCAUAUAGAGUAUCAUCCUAGCGCCACAUGGGACUCAGUUGAUUUGAAUUAAAAAAGAUUAAGCUGCCCCUAGGACGCUCAGCAUCAUCAGUUUAAGUUCUCAUGUAACAGUGGUCUCUGGAGCCACAUGGAUUAGGAGACUGAAGCUAUGCAUUUAUUUUUCAGGGCUCAGUGAAACAUUAGAUGAGUGCAGGUGUCUGAGGGGAAAAAAGGACAAAGAUCACAUAUAGUUUUUUAGACUUGUUGCUGUUCUUUUGAAACUGGAAACAAUAACUCAGUUUUAUUUCUCCAGUGACAGUUACCACUCUUUUUUGGCAAUGCAGUGGUACAUCUGUUACCCAAUGUUUACAACUUAGAUUUAUAACAAUUUCAUACUAGGCACCCUAAUUUUAGUGCAGAGCUGCAAGUUGGGCAUAGAACAGUUUACAUGAAUGCUGACUAUUUUUUUCAUGAUGGAGUAAAAAAUGCACAAAAUAAAUACUGGUGACACUUUAGUUUUACUUGAAUGAAGAUUUAUUGCUCCCAGGAAACUUACUUACAGGCAGCUACAAAUCAACUUGACUAUGAAAUAGCUGUAUAUGUACACCACAAAAUGAGCCCCCCCCUCCCAAAGUACUCACCUUAUUUAUGGGUCUUUCCAGUACUUCAAAGACCUUUAGUAACUUAGUCCAGACUGGUUUAUUGCUUCUUAGAACUAAGACGUUUCAAGAGGAAAGUCGUAGGUUACAGUGUAUUAGGACUCUCUCUUGGGCGGCUGAGAAUCCCAUGAUGCUAUAUGAACUGUUGAUCUAAAGCUUAUUAUAGCCUCACUUCCUACAGUAUAAUUCUUAAAUCUUUUAAGUUAUACAGUGCUGUCUUUAAUCCUGAGCACUAAACCUUAAAGCAGAACUAGUUUUCUAAUAACCAGAGUACCAUCUGUGAGUAGAUAUAAUUAUGCUUUGUAAAAAUACAGUUCACUUGCUUGCACAGGUGGUCCACGACCUAUUUCAAAUUAUUUGAAUUUUCAAAAAAUGUUUUACAUAGAAAAAUCUGGGAGCGAAAUCCACUGUCCCAGUAUUCUUUGUGGAGGAAAAAAAUGUAUGUGGGUAGAUGUAUUCCACUUUACUCAAGAACCAGAACACCUCACCCUUUGUGUUUUUCCAAUUUGCCCUUUCUGUGCGAGUUAUCUGGGCUUUGAUAGUAUCAGUGUAUCAGUGGUGAAGUCUCCUGUUAUGUAACACAUCUAUGGACAUGGAAAUAUAGUAAAUACUUUUUUUUUUCCCCCCUGAUAUGUUGUCAUUUUUAAACGUGUUAUUCUAGGGAUUUCCGGGGAAGAAAUAACAUUAUGCUCUGGAAGUAUUUUUAGAUUUUUCUAGCACUGUGCAAACUGACUGAUUAUUCCCCUGGAAAGGGGAAAGUGAGUAUUAUCCCCACUUUGCACGAGCGGAAAUUGAUAUGGAGUCACACUAAGCAACUUGCCUCAGGCCAUGAAGGUAAACAGGGACCAACACUGUGGUGCUCCCAUUCUCCUGCCCCGUGCCCUGCCCAGGCCCUGCUAUUUACAGCUUGCUGUCAAAUGCCCUUAAGGAAAUGCAGAAUACAGGAAUUAAAGCAAACACAUAACAUUUUCUGCCUCCCAUCAGGGCUUUGUGUUAUCUAGUAUUUAUUGAGUGUCAGCAUUAUGCUGGUUGCUACACAAACAUAAAAGAAAGCGUGGUCCCUAUGCCAGAAUGUAUGUACGUUCUACUUUGUGUUGUCACCCAGAUGUUUCCAACCAGGCUGCCUAGCUUUGCUGUCCCUUUCUGGUGCAUGAGAGAGCUGAACUCACUAGUGCCAGGGGGGUAGCUGUGGCAGACAACCAGCAAUGGUGAGGGGGUCCAGGCUGUGCAUUUGCUGAGUUCCUGCAAACCACCUGGAUGAGUGACUGUCACCACACCCACAGGGAACUGGUCUUUGUAAAAAGAGCCAUGGGGCUGAAAAGCAGGGAAUGACUUCUUUGAGCUGAAUACAUGUCCUCACCCUCCUGGGGAGCAUGGGCAGACCUGUGAAGCCCCAUUUUUCUCCCAGGCUCCUUCCACCUGGAGGAGGAUGCAGUGAGUCUGCAAUGAUACACAAGUCCAUGUGGGAUCCCUGAUCUCUUCUGCUGCUCAAAGCCACAAGGGAGGAGAUAUCUUCUGCGUAGCCUGUUUCCAACAGGUAGGUGUGUCAGUCUUGUUUUCUCAUAACCACAUAGGAAAAUGUUUGUCAUGACAUAUAAUGCCUACAGCUAGUCUCCAAAACACUUCUUGGCAUAAAAUCAAAAAAAAAAAAAAAAAAUUCACAUUCACUCUGCUAUUCAAAGGCAAUUAAAAAAUGUUUCUGACUAGUUACAUCAGUGGAAUUUUCUGUUAAUUUCAGUGAUAAAAAAGUCAUAUUCCUUCCUCAUGUGGAGCUGAACAGAGCUACUAGAAUGUUACCUGAGCGCUCAUUGCCAGUAUUUCACUGCUAGGCAUCACCUAUGCCUGACUUGGACAAUAAUUCAAAGAUGAUGAGGCAUCAAAAUGGAUGUGAAUCAUUCUGUCAAUCUUUUCUUCAUUUAGCUAUUAACCCGUAGCUCUGUUUGAAUUUGGGUAGCCUGAGGUCAGAAAGAGAAGCGUCAUUUUUCUUGUAAAACAAAAAUACUGGACUAAGAAAAAGUGAGCUAAUAAAAACAGAAAGGUAAAUUUAAAGUCACUAUUUAGAGUGCAGGAAUUUGUCUAAUCGUAUUGCCCUGGAAUAUUAUUACAAGCAAUGCAUUCUUGUUACCUGGAAGGAGAUACAUCUGGGAGAGAAAUGAUCUAUUCUGUUUCUGUGUUCAACAUAUGGGCAUGUAUAAUAUAGGAAUAUCUGAAUUCUACCAAUGUUCACAGUUUAUUGUCUGUGGAGAAAUAAUUGAGUUGCUUGAAAAUUUCUGGUGAGAAGUAUACUAAUUUGAACUCAGAUGAACGCAGUUCACCCAACUUAAUCAGUCUGGGUUACAGAAAAUAUGGGUAUGAAACAAAUCUUUCUGCCCAUACAUAAAUCAGUGUAAAAUUAUUGGUCAUUUUUCCCCACAUCUCUGCUAGUUGCUAGUAGCAAGCAGAGAUUUACUGGAGGAAUUAAAGAGGCUUCAUUCCUCCCACCAGCAGCUGUUCGGCCCUGCAGCCUUCCUGCGUAGGGCAGACUGCACCAAUCCUUGGUAUGUAUGACUCAUAGGAAAGUAAUAAAAUCUUGAGGCUAGAAGAGACCUCAGGAAGGAGACCAGCUGAUACAGAAGAGUUAGAGCAGCUCAUGUGAGAUCAGGAUAUAAGGAGCUGAAAGACACAUGCAGGGGAAGCAUCUGGGCAAGACAUCCUGAGUGACAAAAUUACUGGGACUCCUGCCCACGUGAUCAACCCCUUGCAUGGUCUGGAGCACUGCAUGGUGAUGGUCACCAGAGCAGUUCCCAAAGGGAGUUGUGCAGGUGACAUAAAAGCCAUAUGCAAGAAAUGCCAGCCUCUAGACUCAAUGGUCAACUAUGGAUUGACCGAGCAGUUCAAGAAGUACAUGGGCUCCACAGGUUUUCCAGGGACUGAUUUUGUUUUCACUGCAUCCCAGUAGCUGAGGCCCUGAACCAGAAUUCAGAACUCUUCUUUCAUUCUUGAUAUUUUACAAACCUAAAUUCAUGUAUUCUUGGAUUAUGCCCACACUUCAUUAUAAAUUGUAAGUGUUGUAUGUGUAUUUCCAUUUUGUUAAGGUGAUGUGCAUUUGGGCAGCCGUCAUGUCAUGCCUGGAAUGUGAUGAAAACAAGAGGUCCUGACUGCUCACUACUGAGGAGCUCCCAGAGCACUUCUCACAGGAGCAGGGGUGUUAACCCUGAUAUCCUGGUCAAAUUCCAACAAGGCUAAUUAUAUCCCACUUACCUAAAACUCUGCCAUGCUUUCCCUGCUUGCUGCAAGGUCUUGCUAUGUGAAACAGGCUCUCUUCUGAUCUUAUUAAACACUAUGGUCUUCCGCAUCAGAUGGGGAUAUAUUUAGGGGACUGCUAAAGUUAGGUCUCAGGUUGAUAUAUUUCUUGUCCAGCGCAGUAAUGCUGGACGUAAACCGACAUUGUUUGCAGAAAGAAGAGUCUGCAUUGCAAGUGUAGUUAAGAACAGCCACUUGCAAGCAAUGGUAAUGGCCAUAGUAACAGUAUCCAUUGAGUUCCUGUAUCCGGCCUUCUGCCUGAUGGAGAUUAAGAUCAGUGUGGGUGGGGGCUGAACACUGAACAAAAGUGUGGGGGAAGAGUGGCACAGGUGACUGUUCCCUGGCGGUGAGAUCAAGGUGCCCAAGGGGGAGGCAGAAGGGGCUGUGCUUCUUUCUGAGUCUGCUUCAAGUGCACUACACUAUAUUGAGGAUGCUUGUGACAGUGUAGCCAUUGAAGACCCUAUAGUAUGUGAAUUUCCUGAAGAUCUCAGGCCUAUGAAGUGGUACUAAGAGAUUAUUUUAGCUUUGCAAAGGUGCUGUGAUAUCAAGCAACGGGGAAAAAAAUAUGUGUUUAUAGUUUUGACUAAAGAGUAAAUUAUCAAAGAUGACAUUGAAGUUGCCAUAUUGCAUCUUAUUAUUUGUUUUUAAAGACUGUAGAUGUGGUGUGUAAUGCUGCUGAAAUGGCCACAUGAUAAUCCCAGUGAGGCUUUUUGCUUCUUGUUUAGAAAUAAAUAUUUCCAGGAGGAAAACGAAUCAUGUAAAUGCACCUCUUCCCCUUUAUCUACUGGAAUCUCAUCUAUCUCAUUAUCUUUUCGGUACAAGCUGCCACCAAAAUAUCUUCGAAAUGAACAGAUGUUACAGGUUUAGCUGGAAUUGCCCAAAGCAGAUGUAAGAGUGGAUACCAUUCUUACUGUUGUUUCUUAUCUCUUUGCCUGCAAAUCAAAGUUGCAUCUUUGUCUGCAAAGGUUCCUGUUGAUAUGUGAGUCAGCAAAGCCAUCUCCUUAUAGCUCACCUUGUAUGGCAGAGCCCUACAUUCACAGAUUUUCUUCUCCAUGAUACACAUGCAUGCGUAUGCACGCAAACACACACACACACACAUACACAUAUGUGUUUACACACAUAUUGUUAAGUUGUUGGUAGCACAGCGGUGCUGUUACCUAGUAGAAUUAUUUCAGAUUGCUUCAAAUUUUUAGUUGAAUAGAUGACAGUAGGAUAUGUAUUAGAUAAAUUAAAUGUGUUGGUGUUCACACAAGUAUAUGCACUUGAAGCUAUUUUUGUUUUUUGAAGACAGGUGCCUUUAGCACAACUAGCAACCUUCAAAAAUGUGAAUAAGGGCACAGAGUCUUAAAAGCCUCUUCCUGUCUACUGUGUCUCCCCAGACAGGCUGAGGCCACAUUAAUGGAAAAAGCACAAAGUGAACAAGAUGACCUAACAGAUGCUACCAGGAUGUACUGUACUUUUCCUAAGAUAAAUAAAGCCUGUCAUUUUCAGCAGUAUCAGCAAACCCCACAUAUUCUUUACAGUGUAAUAAAAUAUAGCAUUAUAGUGUUCCAAAUUGCUUUGUAAGUCCAUAUUCUUUUAACUAUUAUUGGUUCUCCUUAUUCUGUUUAACAUACUUAAAUAUUAAUUACAUGAGUAUGGCAUAAAAUAUCCAUCAAUCUAGCUCAUUUUCACUGUCUUAAAUGGGAGCUUAGAGUAAAAAAAAAAAACAGCAUAUAAAGUAAACUCUGAACUAUUGCAAUUUAGAACCUCAGAUUUCAGACUUAUAAGCUGCUUUUAUUCAGCAGCAAAAUUACUCCAAAUGACUUUGAGUUUCUGUAAAAAAAAAGAAAAGAAAAAAAAAAAGAAAAAAACUGCAGCAACACUAAGGCACUCAAUUUCUGCAAGGACUCACAGAUUUAUCAUCUCAGAACUAUAAAAGAGCUGGGGAAAAGAAACUCUCCCUUCACUAAAGAUGAAUUUGUAUUUCUUUUUUUACUGUAGAUAGGUUUGUACAUCAGAUGAAUGAAUCUUAAAAUUUCUCUGAGGAGAGAAAGAUUUCUCUCAGGUUAACAGAUGCCACACCAGUUUGCUCAGACAUGUGCAGCACACAAAUUCUGGACAAAAUUUCUGACUAUUCUUGUUCCAGCAGAGCCAGUUUGCAGUUUCUCAAACCAAUCAGCAAAGCAGAAUUUUCCUACCCCUAGAGAUAGGUUUUGUUUUGAAAGAAAUCAUUCUUGCAAUGGAAGAUGGCUUUGCACCCAUCUUCCCUGCCUCUAUCUAGCCUUUCUGUCCUUGAAACCUUGUCCUUUCCACAGAAGCACAGAGCUAGUUGUAUAAACUGGCAGCUCAUAUCUAUCUCUGUGUCCACAUGGAAGUAGGUCAUUUUUUGCUUUUUCUUAAAGACUGUUGCUUUCAGCAGCAUUAUUUUUUUUACAAUCAGUAUAGUGCUGCCUCCAGCACCUUGUUUCUGGGAGUGACAAGCUGCCCUAAGCCUAAUAAAUGCUCAUAAUGAGUGGUUAUAGAAAAGUAGUUUCAAACAGGAGGUUCUUUCCAUAGCAAAGACUCAGCUCUGCAGCGUGUCCUGCACAGCCUGAGCUAUCCCAUAAUACUUGGACCAUCAUUAAGCCACUGAAUGUUACAAAGGACUGUUAGCCAGAGGAGCUCAUUGUUUCAUAUGAGUGCUUUUAUAUCAUUUUUUUUUUCCUGUCUAACAUAAUUGUGUUAUUAUUCUUAUGUAUUUCUAAUCCUAUUUGAAUCCUGUUCUGCUCUUGAUCAUUCCUGAUCUCACCUGGAAAAUGGGUAAUUGUCACUGUUUGUCUUACUAGCAAGAUAUUUAUCUAGGCUUUUCCAAUUAUCUGCUGAUAUUUCCCUUAUGUAAUGGGAAACAUGAAGUCAUCUGAUACCAAAGUUUGAGUAAAUCUAGUUCAUGUUGAAAUUGCCUCAAAUGGUACCAGUGACAAAAUCAAGAUCAUAGCAUGCAAUAUUCUGCUGAGAGUUUAAAACAGCAAUUUUGAAGAAGACAUCUACAUCCCAAGUUCUGGGUCAAGAAAUAGAGCUAUGUAUAUGCCAUUUGAAGCAUGAACCUCCACAGUGCAUUACGAUUCUUCCAUCUUGAUACAGGAUGCUACCUGAGCUGUUCUACUGUAUCAGAUGAAAAUCAAUAAGGAAUUGCAGAUCUAUAAAAGUAGACAUCUGAGUGGUAUAGAAGACUAUAACAUGGAACAUGGAUUCAUUUUCAGUUUUGUCAUGUUUCUCUUCUGUACUUCCAUAAUCAGAAAUGCAUUACUUCAACAGAAUGCUUAAAAAUUCAUACAUGUGACAUAAUGCUUCACUGAACUUUAAGAUGUCAGUUUGGAAAAAGAAAGAUGGAAAAUUUGGACUUCAUAUUUUAAACAGUUUCCUUACAAUAAACUUUUCUGGUCUGCUGAGUCUUGUCCCAAGUGGAAUUGGUGAGAUACAUCCUCAAGAGGACAGUUAGACUGUUGAAAACACUUGGAAAUAUCUCUUGGCUAUGUCUUAUUUAUAGAAGUCAACUGAGAGACAUGUGGUGUUCUGUCGUAUUGCUCUUCCAAGAGCCUCAUAUUUAUUAUUCUCAGUUGGCAAAAGUGUCCUUGUUUGAAGUUGUACAAGUUAAUCUCUGCCAGUUUAGCCCAAGAACACAAGAUCACUUUCAAACUGCUUUUCCAUAUUCCCGCUUUUAAAACAUCACAUUCAUCACGUGAUAUGUCUUCUUUUCUGUAGAUGUGUGACGUGCAAAGCAAUUUAAUGCAGCACAUAGCAUCUAUGACAUCAGAACCAUUCCCUGCCAGCACUUUAACAAGAUUCCAUUUUGCAUGUCCAGCUUCAGGACUUUCCGAGGGCUCUGUUGCUUUAAGAUACAGAAGACUGGUUCAGACCUUCACAAGAAGCUGUCAGCAGAGUUUGCAAUGUCCUGCAAGCCUUGAAUUGCAUGUAGGAUUUUGUAUUGGCUCAGUAUUACUUACAGUGUUUUGCUGUUUGUGAUUAGGUUUGCAGGAAGGCUGACUGCGGAGUUCUGAUCUGGAUUUCUCCAAAGUGUUUGGGUCUGUUCUGGGCUGCAGCAUGCUGUAGUCAGCAUUUGUUCAUAUCAACAUCUGUAAAACAUUUGGCAUUACUUGAAAAUAUUAGUCACAAUUGUAAAACUAAUAAAAAUCCUUCUUUCUUAUUUUAACUAUAAGGUGGUCAUAUAUGCUGGGCACUCAUCAUUGAUUUAGAUGUUAUCUCUCUGCUAGUAACAUUUUUGCUGUGCUUGCUCCAAAGGCUGCAUUUUUGAUCUGGGAGCAAUUCUCAGCUAAGAAAAUUCAUUCAACUGAAGCUCUGUGCCAGAACUUGGAGGACUUGCAGUUGAUUUACAUCCAGGUGCUCUAUACCAAUUUGUACCAAUUCUCAAACCUCUCUGACAAAAUCCACAGUAGAUUUUCAGCAUGCCCUAAUAAGCAGCACUUUCUUAUGCAAAGGGAGGCUCCUCAGAUGAUCACUCAGACUAUAAUAAAGAUGAGGACUUUGUAUAGAUAUUUUAAACACUCUAAAUGAAAGGUAUUAGCAAAGUGUUGUGAAAUAAGGGCUUCACUAUAUGAAUUACUUACCUCUGAAAUGCAGUGUUAUUGUAGCAAAUUAACUAAAUCCAGAGGCACUUUCCCCUGCAGAUAUAUGCCUACAGUUGUGUCUAAAUGCAAUGCAGGAUGAAUAAAGUCCUGAGUGCCAUGUGGUAAAAAGCACUUUUCAUGUGGCAUAAGCACUUCAACCCAUGAAUUUGCAAUUAAAAUGAAUUUCAAGAGGCAUUUUACUGAGAUUACGUAAUGUAUUUGUUAAGUAUAUGCCAAAUAUUCACUGCUCAUUGGGCUUUCUGAGUCAGAAAAUUCUGUGUAUACUUUCCUUUACUAUGGACUAAAUAAGGAGCAACCACUUCUUAUCUGCUGCGGCUUGAAACAGAGUCAGAUAUUAUGAUUUGGCAACUUGUCAUGCUGAAACAACUCAGUCAUACAGCCACAGCCUGAGGGUGUAUACCGCCAUAACUGGAAUUUGCUGACGAAUUAUGAGAACACCCCUCAUAUGGACACCGCUCAUGCUUCAGACUAAAAUAUACAACACAAUUUAUAUAUGACAGCAUAUAUAUGACAUGCUUUUGCAUAGUCUUGCUACGUUUUCCAAAAUGUCUCAAUUUUUGGGUUACAGACUGUGACCCACUUCAAGUUCUUGCUGGGUAAAGCCAGAAGUUCUCUUUGUGUGUGUGUAAUCUUGUAAAAAUUGAUUCACAUUGGCCUGUUUCAACUUCAGAAGUCAGUCAGCAGGAAUGGCACCUCUAGUUCCCAGGAAGCAGAGAAGAGCUGAUGCUGUGUCCUUGAAAAUUUGCCCUGUAUGCCCAUCAGUGAUGGUGCGUGGCUGUGCUGAGCGCUUCAGUAACAGAGCUUUUUUCCCAAGUAUGGCUAUGAUGUCUUUGUUUAUAGAAUACUUUUCUAAACCAGGUUCAGCAUCAUGCCUACAAAAUUAGUAAUCACAUUUUUGGCAAGUAUUAGGUCAUACUAUCUGCAGAUUGUUCAUAGCUUGUUUAGGACUAAAUAAAAUUUGCUCUUUGUUCUGAGAUUAGUUUUCACUUCUACUUGGGCAGAGCUUCAGCUUUCUCAUUUAUCUGCCAAAUGUCACUUCACUGAGUCUAUCCUCCCACCCAAAAGAGGAAGCUCCUUCAAAGCUACAUUUGCUGGACUUGGAAAAUAACAUCUAAGGCUCCCUUAAAUAAUGACCAUAAAGAAUACUUCCGAGAUAGCAGACAUUAGUAUGAUGAUAUUAGUAUCAACCUCAGCUCUUUUGUUAUUCUUGUGUUUUGAAGAGCCUCAGGGAGGAUUGUAGGCACACCUUUUUCACUGGUGUCUUUUGUUGGCUGACCUGAAGGUAGAAGGUGCCCUAUCGGGCUAUAGUGAGUUUGUCUGGGGCUCUUCAUUCCAUCUGCUCUACUACUCUGCUAAGCGUUCCCAUUCCUCAAUAGAUGUGUACAAGCAGCACUCUGGGCUAGCUGUCACUCACUCGCUUUCUGAAUGCAGAGAAGAAAAGGAGCAAAUGAGGAGAGAACAGUGAGUGGGAAUCGUUUCCCUGCCUUCCUGCCCUUGUCAGGCACACAUUAAUUGUGACAGUGGUUUGAACAUCAAAGAAUGUAGACAUGAGAAGUAAAGAUGUGAGCCGACAGAAAGAGAGAAAGAGGAAAGAAUAGGUGUGGUGUUACAAGAGGAGGUGUGUGGUAGAUCUAAGGGCUUAACUUCCAUGAGGUAAUUAUAGAAGCAUAAACAAUAAAUCAGACUUUAUCUGGCAAACCUUUGACCAUACAAAAAAAGGAAGAUACAUCAGUGGGAUUAUAGGAUCUAGCUCUGUAAGGCAUGGGUUAUAGCCAUGCAGUUUUGGGCCCUCGGUUUCUCUUUGAGCAGCUUGAUAGCAAGGCAUGCAUCAAAACUGUUACUGAAAACAUGCUGUGGGUUUCUUGUAUCUUCAGCUGAAGGAGAAAGCUGUUACUGAUUACUGGCUACGCUGGUUGUAUUUCAGGGCUGGUCUUGUGUGGUGGUUUUCUUUUCAGCUCUGAAGUCAGUUAGCUGUGUGAUAACCUCCUUCUUCCCCACCAGGGAAGAUCUCCAAGAGUCCACUUCUGUGACAGAUCUGUGCAGUGGAAAGAACUAAGAAUAAAAAUUGAGAGGAGGAGUGGAGAAAGAUGACAUCCUGGACUCUUCCGUUUUGUUUUCUCCCCAUUACUGCCAUGCUCCUUCACUUGCAUGACAGGGGUGAGUCUAAACUAGUGCACAGAUUGCUCUUCCACUUCAUAGCCAGGCAGCUGCUUCCUGCCCUGAUAACUAAUUUCAUUUAUUUCCUUUUCAGAAGACGGCCUGCCCUGGGUGGCAAUUACAGUUGGUUAAUUUUGGCACAAUGUGAUUAAAAGCAGAUUGAUAUAAAUCACUGAACAGUGUAGCUUAUGAAAAUGCAAGUUAAAGUAGCGCCCCAACCACAGUGCUGUCAUGAGAGAAGCUGAAAGCCAGAUGUUGGUCUAAUCAUGAUAGAAAUAAUCUAGUAGCAGACUUUAUCCUCUGGAGCUUGAAAGCCUUACCUAAUGGUUUUUGUCAGCCAGAUACCUCAGUGUUGCAAUACAUAUUGAAUGUUUUAGAGGAUCACAAGUUGGUUUGUUUUCUUGGCUUAUAGAUGGAUAUUCUGGGAGUAGCUUUGUGUACACGAUCUGCGGGAGCCCCAGGUGAAAAGCACCUAGUAGGGGAUAAGAGACAUUCUGAGUAUCUAAGGUGUCCAAGUGUCUUGGACACUCAAAAUCUUACCUUAUUUUAAAGUAACCUAUGUGUGGUUGUGUCAUUAGAAUAAUGAACAAAUAAUGAGUGCUUCUGGAAUCACCAGAGGUAGAUAUAUGUGUGUACACUGAGUGUAAUUAAAACUGCAAACAGAUCCUUCCUGCAUCUCACUGCAUUUAUCAAGGAAAAACUACAUUAAUUGAAAAUAGUGCCUGUAAGUUAAAGUCUUUAUUUUUGGAUCAGCAGAGAUGUGAUAGGAUGAGUUCACCUUAAGUUAAAUGUGAAUGCCCCGAUUACAAGCUUGUUUCAGGCUCUGUAUGGCUUAAAAUGUGAGCCUGUUCUGGCUACUGUGCACCCAUAGGUGAUCUCUGCAGGCUGAAGAAUAAGUGUGGGGGCUCCUGAGCCAGCAUCCUGCCCAACACUUUCAUCUGGCAUGCUGUCAUCUCCUCUGAGAGGCCCUGCAUGAUAUUGAGGUGACACAAGGUGCAGCUAGGGAGAGAUGAAGCUAUGGUCCACAAUGACACAGUUCAUAUGUACUAACAGACACCAUGUGCUACUGCUAUCAGUUUUCAUACCAGAUUAUUCACUGGGCUCUGCAAUAAGAAAAUGAUAGAAAAGCCAUUAAUUUGGCUGGUGAUUAAGCUGGACAAGGAAACCCUAUAAAGACCAACAUCUGCUUUCUAAAAUAGAAUAGUCCAGAUGGAAGGGACCUACUAAGGUCAUCAAGUCCAGCUACUGUGGAUGGCAUAAAAACAUUUGGUUCAGGGACAAUUUAUGCCCUCCAAAAAUGUCUUUUUUCUAGGGACAAACCCUCCACUUCUUUCAAAGGUAUUUUGCACCUGGUAUGUGCAGUCUACAUUUUAUAACAUUUUUAACAAAAGAAAAAUGUAAGAAGAGGGAACUGCUUCUUUGUUUUGCUUGAGACUUGUGCCAGAACAGUCUCUAAGGAAUUGACGGUGCCCUGAUCAGAUAGAAAUAAAUCAUGGGGACACUAUUUUAUAUCCUUAUGUGUCUCUGUGCAAAUGCAUUUGGAGAUGGUGAUGUGAAUGUGAAAAAAUAACAUUUGUGGAGAUAUGGAAAUGAAGAGGGAGGAAAAAAGAGGAAAAGAGAAGGGGAGCAAGCUGCUGAGAGCACAGCCACUCAGCCAGCUACCUGCAUCAGACAGUGACCAAAGCCUCUGCCCAAGACAGUCUUUGUAUUCUAUGAUAUGAAUUUUCUUCAACAGUAGAGCACAAUUUUCCUGAACUCUCUUUUUCUUUUCCUACCAAAAAGGAUGUUUUGGAGAAUCUUUGCUGACUGUCACAUUGCAAUUACUGCAGUGCGGAUGGCAAAGUUUGUGGGAAGGAGGAAUACUGAAGAAGAGUUAAAAAUUAAGGCAACUUGUUUGGGUUUUUCGUUGUUGUUUUUAUAUAUAACAUAUGCAGAUCUGUUGAGGUUUUUUUUUUUUCUUCAUUUUAAGAAAAGCUUCAAAAUUAGGAUAGAAAAAUGAUUUUUUUCUCAUUCCCAGUCUUUUGUUUUAAGCAUCUGUGCUUUGUUUUAAUCAUGGAUGUGCAUGAUCAAGAAAUUACACUGAGAUCUGCUCCCAUUCCAUGGAACACUCAGAGCAAAACCUCUAUGGUUCUUCAGAGUAACCUUCUCUUGCACUGGGCUUCACAUCAUAUACUACUUAAAUCUGAGCACACACACUUUCAGAGUCAAGGCUUUACAAGGUCUGGACUGUUUCUUUCUUUGAUGAAUAGUAUAUGGUGCCAAAAUUUGCCAGAUCCUGCCUGUACAAAACAGGGGCUUAGAAUUAACAUUGUAUGUGUUUAAUGGCAGAAAAAAAAAAACAGACUUGGUCUUCUGGUGGAAGGGAGUCUUAUGCACAACAGUAUCUCUGGAUUGUAUUUGUUGCUUUCACAGACAUAAUGACUUUUCCAUGUGUUUGCUGCUGCUGAAAUUGCCAUUAAAAGAACUACGUUGAUGGUAUCAAAUUCUUGUACUUUUGUGGUAACCUUGUUCAAACAAAGCAAGAAACUUCACGCUUUUUCAGAAGCUGUACCCUUGACACAAAGAGAUACGGAAAAAUAGAGAAAGGUGAUGAGCUAUUCUCAAAUCGAGAAUAUCUAAGCCAGUAACUUAAUGCUGGCUUAACACUGUUUUGUUUGUCCUUAUUCCCCUGUAAUCAGAGAAGACUGCAGAUUCCUAGAAAUCCAUCAGUAUGGCUCAUUGCUGGUAUGGCACAGUGGUGGCACUAUGCAAGAUUUCCAACAGUGCCAACCAUGUGUUGUGUGUCUGUUCAGCAGAAGCACUGGUGGGACAGUAAAAUGCUUGCUUGAGUCAAGAUAAUGUCAGUUGCUUAUGCUCCUUAAAAAUCUACUGGUGCUAAGAAAAUGUUGCUCUAAUCAUCUGAACGUUGCUGCUUUGAAAAAGUAUGAAUAUGAAAUCCCACAUAUGUGAUAAUGAUUUUGAGAAAGCAAUGAUCACUGCAACUAAAGCAUUUGCAUCUGUUAAAAGCACAGCUUGCUCUUUCACUUGUGUCAAAGCUGCUGGCACAGAAUUCAAAGUACUGGAUUGGCAACUCUAUCAGGAAGCAAGUGCAGCACAAAGCCAUAAUAGCUGUCUUGGUUUGCUUUUGUUAUCUAAAAAAUUUCAAGUGCUUUGGAUAACAUAAGGUGCCAUAUAACUAUGGAAGCUGUUGGGCAGCAGCUUGACAACCAUAUGCCUAUAUCUAUAAUGUAUGCACAGCCUCAUCUUUAACUACAUGUUUUCCUUUAGCAGCUGUGGCAACAGUGGUGAGUUCAAACAAUUCCCACACAGUGAAAAUGCAGCUGGAGGCAACGGCUUCUCUGCUGAGGGCACAGAAGACACAAGCACUCCGGUCACUUAAAGACUUUCAGAGGGGCCAAAGUAACCUCAGCGCUUACUGUCUGAUCUAUGCCAACUGUGUUGCAAAGAUUCCCAUCCUAACAUUAACCAGCUCACUGUGAAGUCAUGCACAGUGCAGAAAGGCAGGGAUAUUGGAGGUCAGUUCAGCACCGUGGUGAAGCAGCACUCCUGCUCCUGGUGCUGGUGCUAAUGCAUGUGGGUCACCAGGGCUAUCUCUGCACUGCUGCCAGGGUUAAGCCAGUUCAUGGUUCUCUGCACCUGUGGAGUAAACCUUUUUUUUUUUUCUGAAAACUCCUUUUUUGCCUUUCUCAGACAGUGAACAUGGAAGAACUGAGACAGUAUGGGAGCAGCUGCAAAGGGUAUCCAAGCUCAGCUAGGAGAAGGUAUGUGUGGCUGGCCAUGAGGGUGAAGAAAAUUCAGGCAACUUUCUUUUGGAAAGGACAAGCAAAGUCUCUCCAUGUCAGAAAUUUAGAGGUUUAUUCUGUAUGUUGCCUUGUGUUUCAUGUAAUAAAAUCCAGACCACAUACAGCACCAAAUCCUGCAGUUGUCAUUGUCUUAGAAGUCCUAUUCAAAGGUUAACUAACCACUAGGUGUUCCCCUGACAAAGAUAAAAUCUUUGUGUUCCAAACUUUCUGAAGAGUCUUUCAUUACAAUAAACAUCUCCUGCCCAGUAGCUGAGGCUUGUUGAGUAUAAAGAGCCUUUGUCAGGGAUGGAGCACAGCAGAGCUUCCUGAGGAUUUCUUUCCACUCUAAAACUGAGGUGGGUCUGUCCUCCCCACUCAUUUUAAUUUGUUCAUUUUUUCCUAGGAAACAAGUAUUGCUCUGGUUUUCAUUUUCCACAGGCUGCUUGAGUAUCUUGGAGUCUGGAGCUGAGGGGAAAGGAAAGGUUGUUAUCCUUAGUGGUGUUGCCUUUUAUCAUCAAUACUGGCUGCUAGUAUAGAAGAGUAGUAUACCAGCCAAGGGUAUAGCAGUCACUGCUACACAUGUAGACCAUGAGGACUGCUCAGCAACAGAGGCUGUGCAGGACUUGCGAUGUGUUCCCCACUUCUCUCUGAAAUACUUCAUAGUACAUCUGGAAUACAUGUUUUCACUUUUAAAAUCUGUCCUUUUACAAAUAAAAUAGUGUGGAAUCUGCCCAGAUAAUUCUCAUUGUAGCAGCACUAGUAUUGCUUCAUUGUUAAUCUCUUUUCAGCUGUGGCAAUUGUUACUCCUCUCCUCUCCUCUC